rnacentral:rRNA from 1 species
ACGCUCGACACCUACGGGAGCAGCAGUGGGGAAUAUUGCACAAUGGGGGAAACCCUGAUGCAGCGACGCCGCGUGAAGGAAGAAGUAUUUCGGUAUGUAAACUUCUAUCAGCAGGGAAGAAACUGACGGUACCUGACUAAGAAGCACCGGCUAAAUACGUGCCANCAGCCGCGGUAAUCUGAGGCGGGCUGGCAAGGC